rnacentral:rRNA from 1 species
UACAACCUUCAACAACGGAUCUCUUGGCUCUCGCAUCGAUGAAGAACGCAGCGAAAUGCGAUAAGUAAUGUGAAUUGCAGAAUUCAGUGAAUCAUCGAAUCUUUGAACGCACCUUGCGCUCCUUGGUAUUCCGAGGAGCAUGCCUGUUUGAGUGUCUUG